AUUUUUUAUGGCCUGCUCAGCAUGAUUCAGUAAGAGACAUUUAGCAAAUAAGAUUGGUAGACUGUUAAGGAUCUUAAACAGUGUCUUAGCUAUUGUGUCACACCAAUGCUUUUUAAACAGGAAAAACAGUAUUCUCCAGCCCUUUUUAUUCAAAAUAUUAGCAGUCUGAAGUUAUGUUAAACAGUUAAUGGUUCUGCUUGUUUGUCUCAGUGAACCCCAGACCUUACACAUGAUAGGCAGGUGCCUUACCCCAGCCAGCUAGAACAUCUAGGAAAAGGGUUGCUACACCACAGAAGUCAAUCCAGGCAACCCAAACCUAGCACCCUCCAUUGGCCUGGCCAGCAGCUGAGCAGUGCAGGUAAGGAGCUUUUAAGGAUGAACACCCUGUUCUUAUCAUCUUCCAUCUAGUGCAAUCUCAGAAGCACGGAGUGCUGUCCCACACUGGGUGAUCCCCAAGCCUGUUCAGACUUGCUUUCUUCUGGGGCAAUGAUCAAGGGCUGGAAGCUAGGAGAUCAAAGCCUGGUUUCUUCUCUUAGUCCCACCUCAGCUCUGCCUAUGAAGCCAUCCCUCCAUCUGACCUCCAAAGAGCAGCCUUUGUUCAUUCCAUGCAGAUGUCCUGAAUGCACACCCUGUGCAAAGGGGCGUAAACUGAGCACUUGUGGUUUCAUCCAGUUCUGGAAGAAGUGGCUGUGCAAUGGAAGGAGCCACUGUGAAUCACCAGAGUGGGGGGAAAAAAUGCAGAUUGAAAUAAACAGAGAGGCAACUGGAAAUGACGAGCAUGAGCAGGCGAUGACUAAGGGACAGAUCAGUGCGUCAGACAAGGAGCUCUUAUGGAGGUGGCUUGGAGGUGGGCAGGAGACCGGAAGAAAGAGCUAUCAUUACACUUUCAUGAUUGUGUGCCCACGUCCACCCAUGCAAAAAAAGGAGGCACUGGCGUCAUGAUGGCCAGUAAGAAUAUCUAUUCUGUGUGCGGUGGUCUCAUGGAAAGACAUCUGAGUGUAUGUCAGGAGGGGACAGACAAAAAGGAGUCCCUGAAGAUACCUUCCUCCAGAACUGGGAUGAGGACGGUUGGGGCCACAGCUGUUUGAGUCAGGACAGCUGUGUACGUUUCAAACAAAUGAAGAGAGGGUCACCUGGAAGGAAUCUGGCUGUCACUGUCCCAUGUAAACCACACUGCAUGGGAUGAAAUUCAGUUGCCAUCACUCCAUGAGGAAGACUUGUGCUGGAGGCAGCCCAGGAGAAAUCCAUCUGUCCAGUAGUUCUCUAAACCUUCCACAUGCUCUAGAGGUGCCUGACAGCUUCUAGAAGCUGAUUCUAUAUACAUACAGUCAACCUUCUGCAUCUGUGGAAGAAGCCACACUCACAGAUUCACCCAUCUGCAGAAAAAAAAAUAGUCAAGAAAAACUCUGCAUCUAACUAAAUGCAUGAAGAUUGUCUUUCUAUCCUGGGGUGCAGAGGGUUGAACCUAGAUAUAUGUUCUACCACUGAGCUACACCCCCAACCUCUCUGAAUAUUCCUGUCAUUCCCUGAACGACACAGCAUAACAACUCAUUGCAUGUUUGUUGUGCAUUGGGUAAUCUAGAGUUGAUUUAGAGCACACAGAAGGAUGUGUACAAGUCAUGUGCAAAUACCAUCAUUUCAAAAGACUUGCACACCUACAAAUGUGGGUCCACAAAGGAGAUCAUGGAGCCAACCAUCAGCAGCUGUGCCUUCGUUAGUUUUGCUGGGCUUCCCUGUUCCCUAAUGUUCUGGGUGUGCCAUUAUAACAUAAUUUGUGCAGAACCAGAUAUGCAAGGCACCGGCCUGCUUGUCCUUUCAAACUCCACCCUCAAAUCCUCUCCUUCUAACUACGUUAUCGCCUCUGCUAAACAGUCUCUCAGCUGCUCGCUCCUUGCCCACACCCACCACAAAUAUUUCCACUAGAGAAGAAUUCUUUUCUACU
rnacentral:lncRNA from 1 species